CUAGGGUUGAAUUUUCUUCCCUCUAAGACCCGAUAAUGGCUUAUACAGAAAAAUCCAUUGAUAAUAUUCGAUAAAUAGUAGCCGUGCUCAAGAGACACAUUCUCACCCAAAUUUUGAGGCUGAGGUGUGGAGAAGAAGAUCACCUCUUCCUCUUUAAUGCGGGCCAACAAUAGCAGCGUGCGAGCCAGGGAUCUGGUGAAGAACAGCUCCGUGAAGUCAGGACGGCGGAGUACGAAGGCCCACCGCUUUGAGACGGAACACCUCGCGAUAGACUUGAGCGGCAUAUCCUAGAGAAUAUCUCGAUGACGAGCUCGACUGGGAUAUUCACUUAUUCAGUAGUAUUUCUUCAGCUUUGUCUUGUGAUAUCAUGGCGGCGGAGGGAGACUUGCUUCUUCGUCAAAACCUAAACAGUUAGGGGAAAUGCAAAAUUAUCAUCAAUUAAUUGCUCGGUAAACUUUGAGUCGUUUUGGCUGGAUUGAAACGACACCUCACAUGACGUGCUAUCAGUUAGCGUGUCGUUUGUUCUUCCAAUUUACAAACGGUGCAGCGUUUUUUGACUUUUCAGAAUUUGAUGAUUUUCUCAAAACAAAUUGUUUGGCUUUUUUUCUUUUCUUUUUUAUUGGAGUUUUCUUGUGGAAAAUGUCGUUUAAGAUGUUUAUUGUGUAGAGAUUUUGAAAAAUCUGGAAGAUGUGUAAUCCUCCGAAAAUAAAUUAUUAAUCUCGUGUUAAUUAGUUUUUGGUAUAGGCUAACAUUGAUUGGCUUUACUCUUCUCAGAUCGAUGGGUCAAUAUGGAACGUACUCUUCAGUCACAAAUGUUGCUUGACAUGUUAAAUAAUGUGCGUGCAAAUCAAGACAUUUAUUGUGUAUUUCAGCAUCAUUCCACCGUUUCUUUUACUAGUGAUAAACUGAUCUUAAUUAUCCUAUGUGUUAUAUAUGUACUGGAUCGAUAUAUUGUCAUGAACUUUUUGUUUUCAAGUCCUCUUUCUUUCUGAGAGUGUUGAUAAAGCGUUGGUUAUGACACAACAACCUAAAGGUAUUUUUCUGCAGAUGAUAAAUCAGCUUGAUUCUCUUUCUUUCGUAUAACUGAACAUUUACAUCCUCUUGUUCAACUUAAUUAGAUAUAACUACUUUUAAAAAAGAUUUGGCACACCGAUUGCUUGUGUAUUUUUACAUGCUUAUCCAAGUACACAAGGAAAAAAAAUAUCCAAGAAAAUUCAGUGUAGUAAAGAAACAACAGUUAAUAUAACUUCAGAAAAGAGUGUAACUUUUACUCAAUAGGUAGCAGAGAGUGAGGUUAUAUCUAAUAAGCCAAGAAAAGAAGUCAAGCCUCUCUCACGAAUACUCUUGUAUUGUCUUUUACGAUUUAUAUUGUGUUUCUAUCUUUUUCAAACAAGUACUUCCCGUUAGGUUUAUAAUUUGCACUAAUUUGAAAAUUGGUUUUUCUGGACCCAACCUCUCUAUUGACGUGCCACGCAAGUAGUUUUUAAGUCAUCCAAAGGAUUUUUUUUGUCCAUUAUUCUCGAGUGUUAGCUUACUUAAAUGGUUGAUGAUAAUGUUUAAUUUUAGGAUAUUUAUAUUUCGGGAAAAGUGUCAAUUUCAUUCUCAACUAUUUCAGUCAUGUCAAAUACAAUCCGAACAAAUAGUUAGUGGCAAAAAUGAUCUCAACUCAAUUAAAAUUAAAAAAAAAACUACUCGAGCUUCUUAAAACGUGCAUAAAUCAACGUUGAGUCUAACAGAAGUUAGUCAACCGUUAACAAGCUAAAACGACGUUGUUUUGAUAUAUAUAUAUAUUUAAAAUAUGUUCAUUCCUGGGCACACUAACCUCUAAUCUAAAGUAACUUUUUGAAAUAUUAUUACAAAUUAGAAAAUAUAUAACUAUGCGAAAUUAUAAAACUUUACUAAAAUAUAAAUAAUAAAAUAUUUAUAAUUAUACAAAAUUAAAUAUACUUAAAACUUUGAAGCUAUUUAUAAAACUUUCUUAUAUACAUUAUUUUUAAUUAGUGAAUUUUUUUUCCGAAGUAAAUAUUAUAUAUUUGUGAUAUUUUGUUCAAAAUGUUAAGAGGCCUUUUACCUUUCUUUCACUAAGAUAUUUUGCUCAAAAUAUUAGAAUUAUUAAAGAAUAACUAAAAUUUAUAAAAACAUAAAAUAUAUAGUAUAUUUUAUUAAUUUUGAAGAAAAAAUUGACCAUUCAAGGUUUAAAAAAUUAAAUAAAUUAAAUAAAUUAAAUAAAUUUUUAUAAAUAGUUUCGGAGUUUCAAGUAUAUUUAAUUUCAUAUAAGUAUAAAUAUUUAUUAUUUAUAUUUUAGUAAGAUGUAUGUUUAUUAAAUAUAUGAUAGUUAAAAAAACAUGUUAAUGUAUUUAUAUAAAUCAGAAACAAUCAUUACCAAAGUUUUAAUCGGAUCAGAUGAAGAAGUAUAGUAGUUUAUAUAAUUUCAAAUUUGUAGUAAUAUUCAAAAGUUACUUUAGUCUAGUGGUUUGUGUUCACAAAAAAAACUUCAGUCUAGUGGUUAGUGUUAUUCUUUAUACGUGUAUCGAGGCACGGGUUCGUUCGUAUCCUGGAGUGAAUUUUUGAAAAAGAAAUUAGAUAAAACGACGUCGUUUUAUCUCGUUAAUCAGUUGACUAACUUUUGUUAGAGUCAAUGUAGAUUUAGGCACAUUUAAGAAGUUUAGGUAAUUUUUUUAAAUUAUAAUUGAGUUGAAGCGUAUUUGGUACUGACUAUUUGUUCGGAUUGUAUUUAGCACGACUGAAAUUGUUGGAGGCUAAAAUUGACACUUUUCCUUUUAUAUUUCACACUGGUGUGAAUGUGAUUUUGUUCUUUCAGUUUAUGCUGUAAGCAUCCAAAAGAUGAGAAACUUAAUUUUUUAUUUAUUUUAGACCGAAAUUUAAUCGUAUUAUUAUUUCACCUUUAAGAAAAAAAAAAUUCUUAACUCUUCUUAAACCCUUGAAAACAUAAAUACAACACGGAUUGGACAUAGACUUUAAGAACUCAAUCAACUCAAUUUCAAAAAGUAUAUAUUUUUGUUAAUGGGGAAAAAUAACCGAUAGGAGUAAAAUAUACAUAUUGAUCAAAAAAGGAAACAGAGGUUGUUAUUACAGAUUUCAGAUUAACUUCACUAAGUAAAAAUAACUUCACUAAAAAUACAACGCCACCCAAAUUAAUUAAUAUGAUUGGUUCUCCAAGAAUCUCUUAAGAUUAAUUUGAUUACGUUGAAAAUUAUAUAUUUUUGUUAGCGAUAAUAGACACUAAUCAUGUGGAAAAAGAUGCAACUUGUAACAGAUUUGAGAUUGUCUUCACCUAAACACAAAGGACAAAGGAAACUAAACUUUAUAUAAGUCCGCUUAGGAAAAGGUCUUCUUUAGUCUAUCAAAAAUCACUAUAUAAGCAAAGCAUUGCUACUACUUAAACCCUCCCUCUCUCAUAUUGUUGUUAAUUAUCUCAGAGAGAUUGCCAAAAGCUACUUUAGUUUUUGAUGAAGAUGGUGACAGAUGGUGAUGAUGAUCAACGCUCCGAGGAGGGUUUCAGAGGUGAGAAGAGAUGUCUUGAACUUCUGGCGACGUCGCUUGGCUCUUACGGUGAGGAAGAAACAAGAAGUGUACGAGUAAGAGACGAAGAGGAUAGUGUAUCUACGGAGCUUGGCAGGCGAAAGAUUGAUGAUGAAUGCAAGAAUCAACAAAACCCUACUACUUACGGUCAUGAUUAUGCUUCUUCUUCUUCUUCCUGGAGUUUGUCCUCCGUGGAGUCCAAGAAGCGUCGUGUCAAACUAGAACAAUUUGUAGCUAUAGUAGAAAACAAGAAGAUAUAUGGUACAUUGUAUCUAGAACAAUCAUUGAUAACCACUGAAACAAUAGGAUAUAUGGUACCAUUGUAUCUAGCAAAGAUGAAAACCAUGGUAGACAACUGAGAAUAUUCAUUCCAAGAACUGAAAAAAGUUAUAGCAAAAACUCAAAAGCAAGUGAAAGAUAAAGUCUCUAAUCAAGACCACAUGAUCAACAAGAUAAUAACUUAAGAGCCAGCAUCCGUUACAAAGUCCUAAAACAACUACAUAAGCUUCACGUCUGCUACAUGGUUCAGAAAUAUGUCAACUCUAGAACGCCGCCUCUCAAAAGCUCCCAUUCCUUGGAUUUCAACUUUGGUUACAGUUUUCUUGACAAAAUUGUAGUAGUAAACAUGUAAAGGUUUGGAUGGAAAGAACGGAGAAAAAACAAAUUCAUUUGUAGCAGUCACUCCAUCAAAGUAACAGUGCUCCCUUGCAUGAGCACCCUUCCACAUAGGAGGUAAGCUGAAAAUACGUUGAGACCAUUCAUGUUUUUCAGGGUCUUCUAGAAUACACAUCUCUAAACUUACCUUGACAACCUUACAGAAGCCAAUUUACCUUGGAAGUUUAUCAGAGUUACAGGAAGCAUUCGUCUUUCAAUGAAAUUAACAAAGCUGUACUUCUCAGAUCUGACAUCAAAGCGAACUACCAUAUCAUCACCAUUGGAAUCGCGAGCAUUGUAAUACAAAACACCAUUGAUGCAUAUAGACUUUGUCCCCGGAUAAGAAUGGGGUACGUCACAUUCAAUCAAUCUCCAUGUCAUGUUCCCAAUUCCUAAUGGUCCACAACACUGUUAUCAUCUAGCAUUGUCACUGACAACGCCUUGUGUUGUAUCUCAACUGGAUCGUACCCAAAAAAUCUUCUCAUAUCAGCCAUCUCUCUUGUCUUCUUCAUUUUGGGUAGAGGGAAGGAUUGUUUUGUGCUAGGGUUGAAUUUUCUUCCCUCUAAGACCCGAUAAUGGCUUAUACAGAAAAAUCCAUUGAUAAUAUUCGAUAAAUAGUAGCCGUGCUCAAGAGACACAUUCUCACCCAAAUUUUGAGGCUGAGGUGUGGAGAAGAAGAUCACCUCUUCCUCUUUAAUGCGGGCCAACAAUAGCAGCGUGCGAGCCAGGGAUCUGGUGAAGAACAGCUCCGUGAAGUCAGGACGGCGGAGUACGAAGGCCCACCG
rnacentral:lncRNA from 1 species